rnacentral:tRNA from 1 species
UCCUCGUUAGCUCAGUUGGUAGAGAGCUCCACUGGAGAUGGAGAGGUAUCUGGUACGAUACCAGGACCAUGCG